rnacentral:rRNA from 1 species
UACAGAGGGGGCAAGCGUUAUUCGGAAUUAUUGGGCGUAAAGGGCGCGUAGGCGGCUUUGCAAGUGACGGGUGAAAUCCCUCGGCUUAACCGAGGAACUGCCUGUCAAACUGCAUGGCUUGAGACCGGGAGAGGUGAGUGGAAUUCCUGGUGUAGCGGUGAAAUGCGCAGAUAUCAGGAGGAACACCAAUGGCGAAGGCAGCUCGCUGGGACGGUACUGACGCUGAGGCGCGAAAGCGUGGGGAGCAAACAGG